GUCGAGUGAACGGACGAGAAGCUUGCUUCUCUGAUGUUAGCGGCGGACGGGUGAGUAACACGUGGAUAACCUACCUAUAAGACUGGGAUAACUUCGGGAAACCGGAGCUAAUACCGGAUAAUAUUUUGAACCGCAUGGUUCAAAAGUAAAAGACGGUCUUGCUGUCACUUAUAGAUGGAUCCGCGCUGCAUUAGCUAGUUGGUAAGGUAACGGCUUACCAAGGCAACGAUGCAUAGCCGACCUGAGAGGGUGAUCGGCCACACUGGAACUGAGACACGGUCCAGACUCCUACGGGAGGCAGCAGUAGGGAAUCUUCCGCAAUGGGCGAAAGCCUGACGGAGCAACGCCGCGUGAGUGAUGAAGGUCUUCGGAUCGUAAAACUCUGUUAUUAGGGAAGAACAUAUGUGUAAGUAACUGUGCACAUCUUGACGGUACCUAAUCAGAAAGCCACGGCUAACUACGUGCCAGCAGCCGCGGUAAUACGUAGGUGGCAAGCGUUAUCCGGAAUUAUUGGGCGUAAGCGCGCGUAGGCGGUUUUUUAAGUCUGAUGUGAAAGCCCACGGCUCAACCGUGGAGGGUCAUUGGAAACUGGAAAACUUGAGUGCAGAAGAGGAAAGUGGAAUUCCAUGUGUAGCGGUGAAAUGCGCAGAGAUAUGGAGGAACACCAGUGGCGAAGGCGACUUUCUGGUCUG
rnacentral:rRNA from 1 species